rnacentral:rRNA from 1 species
UGGGGAAUAUUGCACAAUGGGCGCAAGCCUGAUGCAGCCAUGCCGCGUGUGUGAAGAAGGCCUUCGGGUUGUAAAGCACUUUCAGCGAGGAGGAAGGUGGUGAACUUAAUACGUUCAUCAAUUGACGUUACUCGCAGAAGAAGCACCGGCUAACUCCGUGCCAGCAGCCGCGGUAAUACGGAGGGUGCAAGCGUUAAUCGGAAUUACUGGGCGUAAAGCGCACGCAGGCGGUUUGUUAAGUCAGAUGUGAAAUCCCCGGGCUCAACCUGGGAACUGCAUUUGAAACUGGCAAGCUAGAGUCUCGUAGAGGGGGGUAGAAUUCCAGGUGUAGCGGUGAAAUGCGUAGAGAUCUGGAGGAAUACCGGUGGCGAAGGCGGCCCCCUGGACGAAGACUGGCGCUCAGGUGCGAAAGCGUGGGGAGCAAAACAGGAUUAGAUACCCUGGUAGUCCACGCUGUAAACGAUGUCGAUUUUGGAGGUUGUGCCCUUGAGGCGUGGCUUCCGGAGCUAACGCGUUAAAUCGACCGCCUGGGGAGUACGGCCGCAAGGUUAAAACUCAAAUGAAUUGACGGGGUCAUAGCUGUUUCCU